rnacentral:rRNA from 1 species
GAUGAACGCUGACAGAAUGCUUAACACAUGCAAGUCUACUUGAACUUCGGUUUGGGUGGCGGACGGGUGAGUAACGCGUAAAGAACUUGCCUCACAGUUAGGGACAACAUUUGGAAACGAAUGCUAAUACCUGAUAUUAUGAUUUUAGGGCAUCCUAAGAUUAUGAAAGCUAUAUGCGCUGUGAGAGAGCUUUGCGUCCCAUUAGCUAGUUGGAGAGGUAACGGCUCACCAAGGCGAUGAUGGGUAGCCGGCCUGAGAGGGUGAACGGCCACAAGGG